UGCCGAUCAAUCGACUUCAACAAGGUUCUGAAUCGAUUAAUAGAUUUCUGGAUCUGAUUAUAAAAUGGAGGAUCAAGAGAUGGUGGUGAAGCAGAUGUGUAAGCAACAAAUGACAACCUAAUUUCUGCUGAACCCUAAAACCCACCAUCGCAAAUUUGCUUUGUCUGUUCUUGAUCGAUUCCUCUUUGAUAAUCGAAGGUCCACAUAUAGAGACUGAGUGUUAGAUGUUGGAACCGGACUUGAAAAAUUCGAAAUAAAAUUCUCCUUCUGUCAUGGCAAUCUGAAGAUUUCAAAUCCGUUUCUCAAUUGUCGUUCUUUCAUUCGGCAUUUCGAACAAUUACGAUCAGUUUUUUGAUAU
rnacentral:lncRNA from 1 species